rnacentral:lncRNA from 1 species
CUCUGAGAGCUACACUCUCUGAAACACUGGUGUUCCAAUCUCACCUUCAGCAGGCUCCUAUACAGGGGGGAGGGAGGAACGAUGGAUAGGUUGAGAGCGAGAGACAGGAACGUUGGUUAGGUUUUACACAGGAGAGAGAGGAACGUUGGUUAGUUUUUACACAGGAGAGAGAGGAACGUUGGUUAGGUUUUACACAGGAGGGAGAGGAAGAGGAACGUUGGUUAGGUUUUACACAGGAGAGAGAGGAAGAGGAACGUUGGUUAGGUUUUACACAGGAGAGAGAGGAACGUUGGUUAGGUUUUACACAGGAGAGAGAGGACGUUGGUUAGGUUUUUACACAGGAAAAGAGAGGAGGAGGAACGUUGGUUAGGUUUUACACAGGAAAGGGAGAGAGAGGAACGUUGGUAGGUUUUACACAGGAGAGAGAGCGAACAAGUUAGGUUGUUUCUUCAUUCUCCACCCUUUUGCUUCACCCUUUGCUCUUUCAGGCCGAUGUGUGGAUGUGUUGGAUGUCUCUGGUCUGCUCCAGAGGGGCCCUAAGUUCCUGGUUCCCCCGGGCCGCCGGGACCCUCUCUGUCUCCAGCCGCUGCCUCAGGGUCCUCUCCCU